AAAAUAUUUGGUUCUGGUAUAAUGUUAGCUACAGAGUUUUUUACAUUACACAAUGUAGGAUAAUUUCGUGAUGUGUGAAAGUCUGAUUUACGUGAUAAGCCGAAACUUAAAGUAUCCUAAAAGGAGAAAUUGGCAGCAGGAGCAUAAGUUUUUAAUGAUGACGCGAAGGAAAUCACAACUCAAGUGGGUAGAUCUGGAAAUCAAUGAGUUCUAGCUUGAAACGAAUAAAAAACUAACUAAAUUGAAGCGAAAGAGGGUGCCAGCAGCUGCGGUCACUCCCUCUCUCGAGGAGCUAAUAAGGGUGCAGCUUAGAGGCAGUUAGUCAAAAUGCAUAACGCAAGACAUACAGCAGGGACUAUGGGUGAAAUCUCAGUCCUGCGGGAGGUCCAAAACUUGCGUAAAGAUGAGUCUGCGAAGUUAUGGGUAUAGACCCGGAUUUGGUACCCGGUUAUUCCAUAAUGUCAAGUAUAGCUAUUUUAUUUGAAUUAAUAGUUUGCUAGGGGUACUACGAGCAACUGCUUAAAACUCGAAGAACUUGGCGGUUCCGCAUAACCAUCCAGAGGCUCUUGGCGCUUAAUCUGAUGAUCCGCGUGAUAUCUUACCUGCCCUAUAGAAAGCAGUGUACUGCCGUCGAAAGCUUAUGAUGUGAGUAAAUGAAAAUAGGCCCAAUCUUGGGAUUUUAAGUAAUUAAUAAUCAUACCGAGGCUAGGUCAGGUCGAAGUGCUCCUUAUGGGCAAGGGGUUAGCUGAGAGACAAAUAUUUAGACAUAUAAAGAUUUUAGAGAUGAAAUUCUCUUAGUGAAUAUAAGGAUUUGGGAGUAAAAAGAGAGUAAUUCGUUUUUUUGAAAAGACGCAACUGCGGUGCGUUCAAAUCGCCCGUCACCCUAGCCGAAAGGAGAGGUAAGUCGUAACAUGGUAAGGGUAGGGGAACUUGCUCUUUUAAUAAC
rnacentral:ncRNA from 1 species